rnacentral:rRNA from 1 species
GAACCUGCGGUUGGAUCAUUACUGAUUUUUUGCUAUCUUUGGUAGAGUAUUGAAAAAUAUUCCCAAGGUAGCGAUUUUACCACUGUGCAUUUUAAUGUCUUUGCUUUUGUCCUUGGGCAAAAGCGACUUUUUUUUAUAACCAAUUUGAACCAUUAGUCUGAAAAUCUAGUAAUAGAAACAACUUUUGACAACGGAUCUCUUGGCUCUCGCAACGAUGAAGAACGCAGCGAAAUGCGAUACGUAAUGUGAAUUGCUUUCCGUGAAUCAUCGAAUCUUUGAACGCAAAUUGCACUCCUUUUGGAGUAUGCCUGUUUGAGAAUCUAUAGUACUCAUUUUUACCAUUAUUAUGAUGAUGAUGGCAAGAGAUAUGAUGUAUCCUAAUAUUUAUUUAGUAGGUUAGGUACAUUUAAAUAGAUUGCCUCCUUUUGGGCGUAGAAAUGACGAGAUUUAGUUUAAACUACAGAAAAGUAUUUGAGUGAGACUUUAGUUUCUUAUUAUGCCAAUUAUGUAGUACUAAAAGAGUUUUAUGUCAAGGAUGGUCCACAAUUUAAAAAGAAAAAAGUGUAGACUUUUUUUUUUUGAACCAUGGUCUCAAAUCAGGUAGGAAGACCCGCUGAACUUAAGCAUAUCAAUAAGCGGAGGAAAAGAAACUAACAAGGAUUCCCCUAGUAACGGCGAGUGAAGCGGGAAUAGCUCAAAUUUGAAAUCUCCUUCGGGCGAAUUGUAGUUUAGAGAAACGUUUUCUGUUGGCGGGUAGGUACAAGUUCAUUGGAACAUGACAUCAUAGAGGGUGAAAAUCCCGUCUUUGACCUACCUCAAGACUUUGUGAUACGUUUUCCAAGAGUCGGUUUGUUUGGGAAUGCAGACCAAAAUGGGUGGUAAAUACCAUCUAAAGCUAAAUAUUGGCGAGAGACCGAUAGCGAACAAGUACCGUGAGGGAAAGAUGAAAAGAACUUUGAAAAGAGAGUUAAAUAGUACGUGAAAUUGUCAAAAGGGAAACGUUUGAAACCAGUAUUGCCUAUGAAAAUUCAGCUAUUAUUUAUAGUAGUGUAAUUUUUCGUAUGGCGAGUCAACAUCAGUUUGAUUUGGAGCAAAAAGCUAAAGAAAGGUAGCCCUUUGGGUGUUAUAGCCUUUAGUCAUACUCUGGAUUGGACUGAGGACUGCAGCGUUUUUGCCUUUGGGACACCAGCGCUUAGGAUGUUGACGAAAUGGUUUUAAGCGACC